rnacentral:tRNA from 1 species
GGGGAUUUAGCUCAGUGGCAUAAGUGCCUGCCUGGCAAGCAUGAGGUUGUGAGUUCAGCAAGCAGGAGGUAGUGACUUCAAUCCCCA